rnacentral:rRNA from 1 species
CCUACGGGAGGCAGCAGUGGGGAAUAUUGGGCAAUGGGGGAAACCCUGACCCAGCAACGCCGCGUGAGCGAUGAAGGUCUUCGGAUUGUAAAGCUCUGUCUUCGCUGACGAUAAUGACGGUAAGCGAGGAGGAAGCCACGGCUAGCUGCGUGCCAGCAGCCGCGGUAAUA